GUUUAUUGUCUACAGGGUGUCCACAAAGUUUGGGUACAUGGGGAUUAGCACAUACUUUAAGAAAUUAUUAUUUCUUAUAUUUAAUUGUCUAUGUUAUGAUUUUAUUUACUCCAUGUACCCAGACUUUGUGAACACCCUGUAUAAUAU
rnacentral:lncRNA from 1 species